AUAGUACUUUUAGGUCCAUCUAAUUCAGAACCGCAGCAGAAAACCUUAGUACUUGAUGUAAUCACACCAGUUACUACCACUAUCAUUAUGAUGUCACUAAACACCUUAUGUCAAUGCAUCAACUAGGAAAAGGCAGAUUUAAAGCUCAAGGCACUGAACAAAGACCUUUCUUCAGAUCAUAUGUUAUCUUCCAAUAAAUCCCUUGGACUCCUUGACUCCUAGCAUCUGCUUCCUAGAGAACCCGACUGAGACAAUCUGUGAAGAGAGAGAUAUAAAGGAAUAAUUUCCUAGUGAAGUUAUGGAGCAAACUUUAGCCUUAGUAAAAUUGGACAAGUUAUUUCUACUGUGAAAGAUCGCUGAAGGAUAACUGUUUUCAACUGAAACCUAAAGACAGAGAUAGCAGUUAACAUUUAUUUUCAUAAUCUUAAAAAGGUAUAUAAUUUCAGUAGGAGGGACCUAUAGCGACACUAAGUGGGGGGUGGAGUGAGGACAUUUGAUCAGUGCUGGGGGAGAGCAAAGCAAAGAGGCAUUAUCCAGAGAAUUCUGCACAGCAGUCGCCCACCUGAUCCGGGCUGCCUUCUUAGCUUACCCUUGAACGUCAGCCUGGUUCUGGCCCAGGCCCAAGAGCUAAGUUUCAGAUCCUGGCAGGCUUAGGAGAACAGUGCAGCCUGGAACAUCUAAUCCCACUCCGGCUUGCUCUAAAAUGGCCCCUGAAUUCAUCCAGCUCCUGAGCCUGCUGCCUGAAGCUGUUGCUAGAAACUCGAAGCAUAGAAGAGCAAUGCCACUUUUGCUCCAGCUUUGAGUUUCGGUUUUACCAUAUUAAUUUUUUCAAGAAUUUUCAUCUUUCCACAUGCCAUCUUUUAGAACAGAUUGCUUAAAGUUUCUUAGAGGAAAUGAGGCACAGUUAGCAGAUGAGAGGGUGUACACCCGUGUUCCUAGGGCCCGGGCAGCUAUCACCUUGUAAGGACUUACCUGCUGC